CACGUAGGGUGCGAGCGUUGUCCGGAAUUAUUGGGCGUAAAGAGCUCGUAGGCGGUGUGUCGCGUCGGCCGUGAAAACCUGCAGCUUAACUGUGGGCUUGCGGUCGAUACGGGCAUCACUGGAGUUCGGCAGGGGAGACUGGAAUUCCUGGUGUAGCGGUGAAAUGCGUAGAUAUUGGGAGGAACACCAGAGGCGAAGGCGGUUCUCUGGGCAUGUCCUGACGCUGAGGAGCGAAAGUGUGGGGAGCGAACAGG
rnacentral:rRNA from 1 species